rnacentral:rRNA from 1 species
AGAGUUUGAUCAUGGCUCAGGAUGAACGCUGGCGGUCUGCUUAACACAUGCAAGUCGAACGGAGUAGAAAUACUUAGUGGCGGACGGGUGAGUAACGCGUGAGAAUCUGCCUUAAGGAUUGGGACAACAGUGGGAAACCGCUGCUAAUACCAAAUAUGCCUUUUAGUGAAACGGGUAAAACCGCCUUAAGAUGAGCUCGCGUCCGAUUAGCUAGUUGGGGGGGUAAAGGCCCACCAAGGCGACGAUCGGUAGCUGGUCUGAGAGGACGAUCAGCCACACUGGGACUGAGACACGGCCCAGACUCCUACGGGAGGCAGCAGUGGGGAAUUUUCCGCAAUGGGCGAAAGCCUGACGGAGCAAGACCGCGUGGGGGAAGAAGGCUCUUGGGUUGUAAACCCCUUUUCUCUGGGAAGAAAGUUGUGAAAGCAACCUGACGGUACCAGAGGAAUCAGCAUCGGCUAACUCCGUGCCAGCAGCCGCGGUAAUACGGAGGAUGCAAGCGUUAUCCGGAAUUAUUGGGCGUAAAGCGUCCGCAGGUGGCUGAUCAAGUCUGCGGUCAAAGACCGGGGCUUAACCCUGGAAAGGCCGUGGAAACUGAUCAAGCUAGAGUACCGUAGGGGUAGAGGGAAUUCCCGGUGUAGCGGUGAAAUGCGUAGAGAUCGGGAAGAACAUCGGUGGCGAAAGCGCUCUACUGGACGGUGACUGACACUCAGGGACGAAAGCUAGGGGAGCGAAUGGGAUUAGAUACCCCCGUAGUCC